UGGGGUGUAGCCAAGUGGUAAGGCACCGGGUUUUGAUCCCGGCAUUCGCAGGUUCGAACCCUGCCACCCCAACCA
rnacentral:tRNA from 1 species